GUAUUGGGGUCGAUUUAGCCAUGCUAGUCGCACGAGUUCAGACUCGUGGCAGAUAGCUCAGUAACACGUGGCCAAACUACCCUGUCGAUCGGGACACCCUCGGGAAACUGAGGCUAAUCCCGGAUACGGCUCGCUGCCUGGAGUUGGCGCGAGCUCGAAACGUUCAGGCGCGACAGGAUGUGGCUGCGGCCGAUUAGGUAGACGGUGGGGUAACGGCCCACCGUGCCGAUAAUCGGUACGGGUUGUGAAAGCAAGAGCCCGGAGACGGAAUCUGAGACAAGAUUCCGGGCCCUACGGGGCGCAGCAGGCGCGAAACCUUUACACUGCACGCGAGUGCGAUAGGGGGACUCCAAGUGCGAGGGCAUACAGUCCUCGCUUUUCACCACCGUAAGGAGGUGGUAGAAUAAGUGCUGGGCAAGACCGGUGCCAGCCGCCGCGGUAAUACCGGCAGCACGAGUGAUGACCGCUAUUAUUGGGCCUAAAGCGUCCGUAGCCGGCCAGGCAAGUCCAUCGGGAAAUCCGCACGCUAACGUGCGGGCGUCCGGUGGAAACUGCUUGGCUUGGGACCGGAAGAUCCAGAGGGUACGUCUGGGGUAGGAGUGAAAUCCCGUAAUCCUGGACGGACCACCGGUGGCGAAAGCGCUCUGGAAAGACGGAUCCGACGGUGAGGGACGAAAGCUUGGGUCACGAACCGGAUUAG
rnacentral:rRNA from 1 species